rnacentral:rRNA from 1 species
UACGUAGGGUGCAAGCGUUGUCCGGAAUUAUUGGGCGUAAAGAGCUCGUAGGCGGUCUGUCACGUCGGCUGUGAAAACCCGAGGCUCAACCUCGGGCCUGCAGUCGAUACGGGCAAACUAGAGUACUGCAGGGGAGACUGGAAUUCCUGGUGUAGCGGUGAAAUGCGCAGAUAUCAGGAGGAACACCGGUGGCGAAGGCGGUUCUCUGGGCCUGUACUGACGCUGAGGAGCGAAAGCGUGGGGAGCGAACAGG